GGGGAUAACACCUGGAAACAGGUGCUAAGACCGCAUAAGCGCACGGUCCCGCAUGGGACAGUGUGAAAAACUCCGGUGGUACAAGAUGGAUCCGCGUCUGAUUAGCCAGUUGGCGGGGUAACGGCCCACCAAAGCGACGAUCAGUAGCCGGCCUGAGAGGGUGAACGGCCACAUUGGGACUGAGACACGGCCCAAACUCCUACGGGAGGCAGCAGUGGGGAAUAUUGCACAAUGGGGGAAACCCUGAUGCAGCAACGCCGCGUGAGUGAAGAAGUAAUUCGUUAUGUAAAGCUCUACCAGCAGGGAAGAAAAUGACGGUACCUGAGUAAGCAGCCCCGGCUAACUACGUGCCAGCAGCCGCGGUAAUACGUAGGGGGCAAGCGUUAUCCGGAUUUACUGGGUGUAAAGGGAGCGUAGACGGUAAAGCAAGUCUGAAGUGAAAUGCCAGUGCUCAACACUGGAACUGCUUUGGAAACUGUUUGGCUGGAGUGCAGGAGAGGUAAGUGGAAUUCCUAGUGUAGCGGUGAAAUGCGUAGAUAUUAGGAGGAACACCAGUGGCGAAGGCGGCUUACUGGACUGUAACUGACGUUGAGGCUCGAAAGCGUGGGGAGCAAACAGGAUUAGAUACCCUGGUAGUCCACGCGGUAAACG
rnacentral:rRNA from 1 species